CACGUUUCAGUGAGUUGAAUAAUCAAUGUUAGAAGUCAGUGCAACACAAAAAUUAAAAAACAGCUCCUUAACUUAAAUGUUUGAGUAUAUUGAAUAAAAUACUUUUGUCAUCAAUCAACAACAGAAAAUAUUAAGUUUGUGUAACAUGUAAAAAUGAGUUUCAACAUCCUUCCUGUUUGAAUUGAGACCAUUCAGACAGACGAGGGCAACCCCGUAGCAUAUGUUCGUAUCGUGCGCAACAGUUUCUGGAUUCUUGUGGCUUCGUGGGAGAAGAGGUGUGUUUGCCCUCGACUGUGUUCGGUGAGUUAAGAACCGAAAACACACUCCUCACUCAUUGGAUGACUUCAAGCCUGAGCUGAUACAGAGAGUUCGGUGGAAAUGAAGAGAGAGGUCGCAAUCCGUUGCCUGAAGGUGUAUCUGAAAGAGAAGGAAGAGGAUCUCUUCAGAGAACAGCUGGAUGGUGAACAACAGUUCCCAGAAGAAGUGGUAAAGAUUGUAGACACCAGACGAGCAGCAGUGUCUCUCCCAGCUGUCGCUAAAAUUGUG